rnacentral:rRNA from 1 species
UGGGGAAUCUUGGACAAUGGGGGCAACCCUGAUCCAGCAAUGCCGCGUGUGGGAUGAAGGCCUUCGGGUUGUAAACCACUUUUGGCGGGGGCGAAAUAUCGAGUGCUAAUACCAUUCGGUGAUGACGGUACCCGCAGAAUAAGCACCGGCUAACUACGUGCCAGCAGCCGCGGUAAUACGUAGGGUGCAAGCGUUAAUCGGAAUUACUGGGCGUAAAGCGUGCGCAGGCGGUUAGGUAAGACAGGUGUGAAAUUCCCGGGCUCAACCUGGGAACUGCAUUUGUGACUGCCUGACUAGAGUGCGGCAGAGGGGAGUGGAAUUCCGCGUGUAGCAGUGAAAUGCGUAGAUAUGCGGAGGAACACCGAUGGCGAAGGCAACUCCCUGGGCCUGCACUGACGCUCAUGCACGAAAAGCGUGGGGAGCAAAACAGGAUUAGAUACCCUGGUAGUCCACGCCCUAAAACGAUGUCGACUAGUUGUUGGACGGGUUACUGUUCAGUAACGAAGCUAACGCGUGAAGUCGACCGCCUGGGGAGUAC